AUACUUACCUAGACGGAGUCUAUGGGCAAUCAACAAGGCCCAUGGCUUAGGUUAGAGACCUCCAUUGCACCCUCGGAUGGGCGCUCGCCUAAGGUCAGCCCAAGUUGGUUGAGCAUGCGUCGUAAUUUGUGACGGCGGGGGCCCGCGUUCGUAUGGUUCCUAC